rnacentral:rRNA from 1 species
UACGUAGGGGGCUAGCGUUGUCCGGAAUUAUUGGGCGUAAAGAGCGUGUAGGCGGCCGAGUAAGUCCGACGUGAAAUCUGGAGGCUCAACCUCCAGCGGUCGUUGGAAACUACUCGGCUAGAGUCCGGAAGAGGAGAGUGGAAUCCCUGGUGUAGCGGUGAAAUGCGCAGAUAUCAGGAGGAACACCGGUGGCGAAGGCGGUUCUCUGGGCCUUACCUGACGCUGAGGAGCGAAAGCGUGGGGAGCAAACAGG